CACGGGGGUUGCGAGCGUUGUCCGGAAUUACUAGGCGUAAAGGGCAGGCAGGCGGAUCCAUAAGUUUAUCGUUUAAGGCGUCGGCUUAACCGGCGUAGGGCGGUAGAUACUGUGGAUCUGGAAUGCGGUUGGGGAAGACAGAAUUCCUGGUGUAGUGGUGGAAUGCGCAGAGAUCAGGAGGAAUACCGAAGGCGAAGGCAGUCUUCCAAGCCGUUAUUGACGCUCAACUGCGAAGGUGUGGGUACCAAACAGGAUUAGAUACCCUGGUAGUCCCUGAG
rnacentral:rRNA from 1 species